GACAAACGCUGGCGGCGUGCGUAAAACAUGCAAGUCGCACGGGCCCUUCGGGGCCAGUGGCAGACGGCUGAGUAACGCGUAGGAACCUACCCUCCAGUGGGGAAUAACGCGCCGAAAGGCGCGCUAAUACCGCAUACGACCGCUCGCAAGAGCGAGGAAAGCCUGGUGCGCUGGGGGAGGGGCCUGCGUCCGAUUAGCUAGUUGGUGGGGUAAGCGCUCACCAAGGCGAUGAUCGGUAGCUGGUCUGAGAGGAUGAUCAGCCAGACUGGGACUGGGACACGGCCCAGACUCCUACGGGAGGCAGCAGUUAGGAAUUUUGGGCAAUGGCCGCAAGGCUGACCCAGCAACGCCGCGUGGGGGACGAAGGCUUUCGGGCUGUAAACCCCUUUUCCCAGGGACGAUGAUGACGGUACCUGGGGAAGAAGCCCCGGCUAACUACGUGCCAGCCGCCGCAGUAAGAC
rnacentral:rRNA from 1 species